rnacentral:rRNA from 1 species
CGCCAGACUCCUACGGGAGGCAGCAGUGAGGAAUAUUGGUCAAUGGGCUUACGCCUGAACCAGCCAAGUCGCGUGAGGGAGUACUGCCCUAUGGGUUGUAAACCUCUUUUGUCGGGGAGCAAAAGCCGGACGUGUCCGGCUGUGAGAGUACCCGAAGAAAAAGCAUCGGCUAACUCCGUGCCAGCAGCCGCGGUAAUACGGAGGAUGCGAGCGUUAUCCGGAUUUAUUGGGUUUAAAGGGUGCGCAGGCGGAUUUUUAAGUCAGCGGUAAAAUCGUGGGGCUCAACCCCAUCCAGCCGUUGAAACUGGGGAUCUAGAGUGUGCGAGAGGUAUGCGGAAUGCGUGGUGUAGCGGUGAAAUGCAUAGAUAUCACGCAGAACCCCGAUUGCGAAGGCAGCAUACCGGUGCACAACUGACGCUCAGGCACGAAAGCGUGGGUAUCGAACAGGAUUAGAUACCCCUGUAUA